rnacentral:lncRNA from 1 species
CAAGAGAAGGCUUUCAUCAUGUGGGGAAUAGGAAUACUAUAGGCCCAAGCAAGAAGAACAGUAUUAUUCUGGUAAGACAGGGCACAUCUUUUGCCUCCCCCUCUUCUGCUGGACCCAGUGCAGGCCACAUGUUGUGCUUGGGAAAGGCCUUUCUGGAAGGGCAAACCACAAGAAUGCAGCCCUGCAUGCUGCCUGCUGAGCCAAUUGGAGCAGCAAUGAUUGGCCCCCAAGUGAAUGUACAGAUUGGAUCUUCUGCAUAACAGCUCAUCUCUAGAAAUAGAUGCUCCUGUCUUUGCCACACAAAAAGCAUGGGGUGAGGCAAGGAUUAACAUAAAGGUUUGGAAUUUCAAAUUCUUAAGUGGAAAACCCAAGCUGGGCUGUGUAUCCCAAUCCUCUUGUUGGUACCUUGUUCCUGCCACAUGUGUUUUGACUGCUUUCCCAAACUGCUAUUUUGCCCUGAAUCUUAGGGCCCAUGAAAGCAAACAGACGGAAUAUAUUAGCCGCAUCUCUUUUCUAAGGCCCUUUGCUGAUUAUAGUUAAAGUUGCUUUGCUUUUUAUUUGGAAGUUUUAACUCUAACAUUUGCAAGGGGAAUGCUUUGUCAUGAUUCCUCAUGUUUGGGGAAUUUGAGACAUAAGUUGUUGGCUGAGUGGAUGAGGUCUCAAAAAGCAUUCUUUAUUGAGUCUUGGCUGCAAAGAUGCUGAUAAGAAAGGAAGGCUGCCGCUCCUUUCCCCCUCCUCACUCUGACAAAACUUUUUAUACAAAUCUCAACACAGGACUGCUGGUCUUCAUCACUGAAUACAUCUGAGGGUGAAUUUUGGCUAUAUGUAGACACUUUAAGGCAUUUGCAAAGCCAUUUAAAGAAAUUCAAGACUGUGAGACUACAAGCCAGUGCAGUUGAGCUCAUCCACAGCAGCAAGGGCCUUUACCAAUUCAAAGUGUCAACUAAGAUUCUGUGACCUGCAAAAUGUACCAGACACAUGACUGUAGGCAGCAUGAUUAUUUUGAUAAAAACUACAUAAGCAGGAAUAACUGAUCUAGUCUGUUAAGAAGUCAGAAGAGUAAUUGUCCUUGUUGAAGGGGCAAAUGGUACCUGGAGAGGAACAUGAGAAGCACUUUGGGGAAACUGGUAAUGCUGAUAAUGUUUGUUGUUUUUUGUUUUUUGUUUUUUUAAAAUCGGUUAUACAGGUGUUUUCAGUUUGUGAGGCUUUAUCCAGCUAUACACUUAUAGUAUAAGUGUAUUGUAUUUACAUUGCAUAUUUCCAUAUGUAUAUUAUUUUUUUUUAAUUUUUAUUGUUGGUUGUUCAAAACAUUACAUAGUUCUUGAUAUAUCAUAUUUCACACUUUGAUUCAAGUGGGUUAUGAACUCCCAUUUUUACCCCGUAUACAGAUUGCAGAAUCACAU